rnacentral:rRNA from 1 species
AUGUUGAGAUGGGUCUGGCACAUCUUACGCGGUGAGGUAGGAUUAUGGCUAUAGCUCAUUCAAGCGAAAUACCUGAGGGGUGACCCGCUCUUAGCAUGCAACCAGGCAGAAGGCUCACAAUUCUGGCGCGCCAUCCAAAGGAUCAAGGAGGACAUACGCCUAGGGAUCUCCUUCUCCUUAGGGAACGGGAAAGGGAUACAAUUCUGGCUGGAUCCCUGGCUGGAAGUUGAACCCCUACGCGUUUCCUUCCCUGGCCUAUUCUCGAUAUGUGCGGAUCCGGCUGUCCUAGUGGCUACGGCUUUCCAAGCUGGACAGUGGAACAUUGGGUUUCGCCGCACCUUUGGACAAGCCGAGAAUAACGACUAG